rnacentral:rRNA from 1 species
UACAGAGGUCCCGAGCGUUGUUCGGAUUCAUUGGGCGUAAAGGGUGCGUAGGCGGCGGGGCAAGUCUGAUGUGAAAUCCUGGGGCUCAACCCUGGAACUGCAUUGGAUACUGCCGUGCUAGAGUACUGGAGAGGAAACUGGAAUUUACGGUGUAGCAGUGAAAUGCGUAGAGAUCGUAAGGAAGACCAGUGGCGAAGGCGAGUUUCUGGACAGUUACUGACGCUGAGGCACGAAGGCCAGGGGAGCAAACGGG